AACGAACGCUGGCGGCAUGCCUAACACAUGCAAGUCGAACGAGACCUUCGUGUCUAGUGGCGCACGGGUGCGUAACGCGUGGGAACCUGCCCUUAGGUUCGGAAUAACUCCCCGAAAGGGGUGCUAAUACCGGAUAAUGUCUUCGGACCAAAGAUUUAUCGCCUUUGGAUGGGCCCGCGUUGUAUUAGCUAGUUGGUAGGGUAAAAGCCUACCAAGGCGACGAUCCAUAGCUGGUCUGAGAGGAUGAUCAGCCACACUGGGACUGAGACACGGCCCAGACUAUUACGGGAGGCAGCAGUGGGGAAUAUUGGAAAAUGGGCGAAAGCCUGAUCCAGCAAUGCCGCGUGAGUGAUGAAGGCCUUAGGGUUGUAAAGCUCUUUUACCCGGGAUGAUAAUGACAGUACCGGGAGAAUAAGCUCCGGCUAACUCCGUG
rnacentral:rRNA from 1 species